rnacentral:rRNA from 1 species
GACGAACGCUGGCGGCGUGCUUAACACAUGCAAGUCGAACGGAAAGGCCCUGCUUUUGUGGGGUGCUCGAGUGGCGAACGGGUGAGUAACACGUGAGUAACCUGCCCUUGACUUUGGGAUAACUUCAGGAAACUGGGGCUAAUACCGGAUAGGAGCUCCUGCUGCAUGGUGGGGGUUGGAAAGUUUCGGCGGUUGGGGAUAGACUCGCGGCUUAUCGGCUUGUUGGUGGGGUAGUGGCUUACCAAGGCUUUGACGGCUAGGCCGCCUGAGAGGGUUGACGGGCACCAGAGGACUGCGAUACGGCGCAGACUGCUACGUGACGCAGCGGUGGGAAAUAUGACACAAUGAGCGGGAGCCAGAGACAGAGGCGCCGCGUGCGGGAUGACGUCCUUCGAGGUGUGAACCGAUUUCGCAUGAGACGAAGCGUGAGUGACGGUAAUGGGUAAAGAAGCACCGGCUAACUACGUG